rnacentral:rRNA from 1 species
ACACAUGCAAGUCGAACGGUAACGAAGCUAGCUUGCUAGCAGGCGACGAGUGGCGGACGGGUGAGUAACGCGUAGGAACCUACCUAGUAGUUUGGGAUAGCCCAGAGAAAUUUGGAUUAAUACCGGAUACGCCCUACGGGGGAAAGUGGAGGAUCUUCGGAAAGCUCACGCUAUUAGAUGAGCCUGCGUAAGAUUAGCUAGUUGGUGAGGUAAAGGCUCACCAAGGCGACGAUCUUUAGCUGGUCUGAGAGGAUGAUCAGCCACACUGGGACUGAGACACGGCCCAGACUCCUACGGGAGGCAGCAGUGGGGAAUAUUGGACAAUGGGCGCAAGCCUGAUCCAGCAAUACCGCGUGUGUGAAGAAGGCCUGAGGGUUGUAAAGCACUUUCAAUUGUUAAGAAAAGUUUAAGGUUAAUAGCCUUGAGCCUUGACGUUAACUUUAGAAGAAGCACCGGCUAACUCCGUGCCAGCAGCCGCGGUAAUACGGAGGGUGCGAGCGUUAAUCGGAAUUACUGGGCGUAAAGGGUUCGUAGGCGGUUAUCUAAGUCAGAUGUGAAAUCCCUGGGCUCAACCUGGGAACUGCAUUUGAAACUGGUAAGCUAGAGUAUGGUAGAGGUAAGUGGAAUUUCCGGUGUAGCGGUGAAAUGCGUAGAUAUCGGAAGGAACAUCAGUGGCGAAGGCGACUCUCUGGACUAAUACUGACGCUGAGGGACGAAAGCAUGGGUAGCAAACAGGAUUAGAUACCCUGGUAGUCCACGCUCUAAACGAUGAGAACUAGUUGUUGGAGGAAUAUAAACCUUUAGUAGCGUAGCUAACGUGAUAAGUUCUCCGCCUGGGGAGUACGGACGCAAGAUUAAAACUCAAAUGAAUUGAGCGGGGCCCGCAGAAGCGGUGGAGCAUGUGGUAUAAUUCGAUGCAACGCGAAGAACCUUACCUCGUCUUGACAUGUAGUGAAUUUUUCAGAGAUGAGAAAGUGCCUUCGGUAACACUAACACAGGUGCUGCAUGGCUGUCGUCAGCGCGUGUCGUGAGAUGUUGGGUUAAGUCCCGCAACGAGCGCAACCCCUAUCCUUAGUUGCCAGCACAUAAUGGUGGGAACUCUAAGGAGACUGCCGGUGACAAACCGGAGGAAGGUGGGGACGACGUCAAGUCAUCAUGGCCCUUACGACCAGGGCUACACACGUGCUACAAUGGUUAAUACAGAGGGCUGCGAACUUGCGAGAGUAAGCGAAUCCCAGAAAAUUAAUCGUAGUCCGGAUUGGAGUCGGCAACUCGACUCCAUGAAGUCGUAAUCGCUAGUAAGCGCGGAUCAGCAUGCCGCGGUUAAUACUUUCCCGGGCCUUGUACACACCGCCCGUCACACCAUGGGAGUGAGCUGCACCAGAAGUAGCUAGGCAAACCUUUCGGGGAAGCCGGUUACCACG